UGCCUCGAUGCCCUGACUCUGUCGGCUUGCUGCUUGCCUGUGGGUAGGUGGUGGCAGGCAGGGUGUGGGUGCACUUAUUAGAUCAGAAGCCAACCAACUGCUCGUGCGUUGCGUGUGCAGCCGACUGCUGUAGGCGUGCGUGCGUGCGUGCGUGCGAGUGUUGAGAGGAGACCGCUUCUGGUGACUCUGGAUAAUUGUUACAGAUCGCAGUCGGCCUUGAGUCGGCGACGGGUCCUUCAAAUGUCUGCCCUAUCAACUGUCGAUGGUAGGUGACCUGCCUACCAUGGUGAUAACGGGUAACGGGGAAUCAGGGUUCGAUUCCGGAGAGGGAGCCUGAGAAACGGCUACCACUUCCAAGGGAGGCAGCAGGCGCGCAAAUUACCCACUCCCGGCACGGGGAGGUGGUGACGAAAAAUACCGAUGCGGGACUCCCUCAAGAGGCUCCGUAAUCGGAAUGAGUGGACUCUAAAUCCUUUCACGAGGAUCAAUUGGAGGGCAAGUCUGGUGCCAGCAGCCGCGGUAACUCCAGCUCCAAUAGCGUAUAUUAAAGUUGCUGCAGUUAAAAAGCUCGUAGUUGGAUCUCGGUAGCAUUGUUGCCCGCUGGUAAUUGAGCGGCCGGUGUGUGGUCAACGGUGCGCGGUCGCGCUGGCACACAGUCUGCGUGUGAGCGUGUGGUGAGCGCGUGUCGGUUGGUAGGUUGGCAGGCGAGCUGGUUGGCCCGUUGUCGCCGCUGCUGCCGCCACUGUCGGGUAGUUGGCUGCCUGGCUAAGCGG
rnacentral:rRNA from 1 species